rnacentral:rRNA from 1 species
GGACGAACGCUGGCGGCGUGCUUAACACAUGCAAGUCGAACGCUGAAGACCUGGCUUUUGUUGGGUUGGAUGAGUGGCGAACGGGUGAGUAACACGUGAGUAACCUGCCCUCUUCUUUGGGAUAACGCCCGGAAACGGGUGCUAAUACUGGAUAUUCACUGAUCUUCGCAUGGGGGUUGGUGGAAAGGUUUGUUCUGGUGGGGGAUGGGCUCGCGGCCUAUCAGCUUGUUGGUGGGGUGAUGGCCUACCAAGGCUUUGACGGGUAGCCGGCCUGAGAGGGUGACCGGUCACAUUGGGACUGAGAUACGGCCCAGACUCCUACGGGAGGCAGCAGUGGGGAAUAUUGCACAAUGGGCGAAAGCCUGAUGCAGCGACGCCGCGUGAGGGAUGGAGGCCUUCGGGUUGUAAACCUCUUUCGCUCAUGGUCAAGCCGCAACUGUGGGUUGUGGUGAGGGUAGUGGGUAAAGAAGCGCCGGCUAACUACGUG